rnacentral:rRNA from 1 species
CGCGUAGGUGGUUCAGUCAGUCAGAUGUGAAAGCCCCGGGCUCAACCUGGGAAUUGCACCUGAUACUGCUGAGCUAGAGUACGGUAGAGGGUAGUGGAAUUUCCGGUGUAGCGGUGAAAUGCGUAGAGAUCGGAAGGAACACCAGUGGCGAAGGCGACUACCUGGACCGAUACUGACACUGAGGUGCGAAAGCGUGGGUAGCAAACA